UUUGACUUGGGCCUCGGCUGUGUGUCUUUAAUCUUACCAAAGUCUUUAAUCAGAAGAAAAUCUGCCUUAUCCUUAAAGCCCAGGGUCUGAGCCUGUGCCGUGCAAACAGAAGCCUCUGGAGCCUGCGGCAGGAGAUUGCAGAGAGAGAAGCAAACAGGCGGCCGUAGCCACACAGCCUCCAUCCGCACACAGCCUCCAUCUGCACGCAGCCUCCAUCCUCAGCCUCCAACCAGGGCUGCAGUCAGCGGCAUUUAAGGCUCCAGGUGCAGAGGAAGAGAAGUGAUGCCCAAGACACAAAGGGGGGAGAAAUGCAACCAUGACAGCUGCGGAGGAAUAAGCAGGCUUUGCAGUUAAAAGGGAAAUUUGGAAAGGCCCAGAAGUGUCAUCCCCAUUCACCCAGAGGGAAGUUGGAGGGUUCAUGUGAGCCUGGGUCUCUUUAGGGAUUGUGUUGAAGCUUUGUGCUUUUCCUUUCAUAUUUUUUGAAGCUUGCUACAGUUUGCUCUUCCAUGGGCUCAUGGCCUGAGAGAUCACAAAAAGAAUGGGGGGAAAAAAGUGCAGCCAUUCUGCUCCCCUUAGCACACCUGCAAUACAACCAUCACCAUUUCCAUUUCCUCCUCUCCCCCACACCUGAAUGCUCUUGACAGUUUUACCAGUGAUAAAAAAGCUCAGAGGAAAUGGUGAGACCUGGAAAUAAUCCUGCAUUCAACCUAAAACAUAGGAGAGGGGACGGCAUUGAGGGAUUUCCGCAGCCCACCCUCCUGUGGCACAGGCUCCAGAAGCCAGGGCCCGUGGUGGGCGUUGCAGACGAUGUUCCUGGUCACGGAGCACGAUGAGACUCCGGGUUGCCACGAAAGAGGUCGCAGCCCAGCUGAAGAGGUGGCUGGUGGAGCGGACAGACCUGGGCCACCACCAGGAUGUCUUUCUGAGCAUCAUAAAGAGAGAUUUAUUUGGCGUCACACCUGAAGCUGGGGCGUGCCCAUCAUCAGGAGUUCAAGCCGAAGUGGGCGACAGCCAGAGCUUCAUCUGGGGCAAGUGAGAUCCUGGGUGUCCCUUGGGUCUAGCUAAAAAGCCAGUGCAGGACACUACCCACGUUUCAUCCCAAACCAGGGGUUUUCUGUGAAAUGCAGGUGGAUGGGGCGAGCAUCACAGCACCCAGAGUCAGGUGCAACGGACCAGAGCAGAAAGCAUGUGCACCGGUGGGACAAGGGGAAGAGCAGGUCCAAUAUUACAGAAACAUUAGUGCAGAACAAGGUAACAAUCAGUAAAUGUUAAAAAAUAUAUUUAAAAAUAAAUUAAUUUAA
rnacentral:lncRNA from 1 species